rnacentral:tRNA from 2 species
GGGCGUGUGGCUCAGUUGGUAGAGCGUUCGCUUAGCAUGCUUCAGCGCAUGCGAAAGGUCCUGGGUUCGAUUCCCAGCUCGUCCA